rnacentral:rRNA from 1 species
GACAUGUCCGGAACUUGCCAGAGAUGGCUUGGUGCCCGAAAGGGAAUCGGAACACAGGUGCUGCAUGGCUGUCGUCAGCUCGUGUCGUGAGAUGUUGGGUUAAGUCCCGCAACGAGCGCAACCCUUAUCAUUAGUUGCUACGCAAGGGCACUCUAAUGAGACUGCCGGUGACAAACCGGAGGAAGGUGGGGAGUGACGUCAAGUCCUCAUGGCCCUUAUGGGUAGGGCGUUCACACGUCAUACAAUGGUCGGUACAGAGGGUUGCCAAGCCGCGAGGCGGAGCCAAUCCCACCAAAGCCGAUCGUAGUCCGGAUUGUUCUCUGCAACUCGAGAGCAUGAAGUCGGAAUCGCUAGUAAUCGCAGGUCAGCAUACUGCGGUGAAUACGUUCCCGGGUCUU